CAAAAAAUAACAAAUUUAUACCAUCCCCUCGGAAAAAAAAUGACGGUAUGUGCCAUCAGGGAUCUGUGGGAUCGAGCCAAUGUCUUCCAUUCACAAAGCUCUUGGCAAGAAAAGGUCUAGCAGUCGCAUAGUCCAGCUCCCGAGCCCAUGAAACGCCUCGUACAGCCUCUGCUCCAGGCCCCCAACACCGAUAAACCCCGAAAAACACUGUCUUGUCCUUGUCCCCGGG
rnacentral:misc_RNA from 1 species